CAGAGUGUAGAGGUGGCAGGGUAGCCUAGUGGUUAGAGUGUAGAGGUGGCAGGGUAGCCUAGUGGUUAGAGUGUAGAGGUGGCAGGGUAACCUAGUGGUUAGAGUGUAGAGGUGGCAGGGUAGCCUAGUGGUUAGAGUGUAGAGGUGGCAGGGUAGCCUAGUGGUUAGAGUGUAGAGGUGGCAGGGUAGCCUAGUGGUUAGAGUGUAGAGGUGGCAGGGUAGCCUAGUGGUUAGAGUGUAGGGGCGGCAGGGUAGCCUAGUGGUUAGAGUGUAGAGGUGGCAGGGUAGCCUAGUGGUUAGAGUGUAGAGGUGGCAGGGUAGCCUAGUGGUUAGAGUGUAGAGGUGGCAGGGUAGCCUAGUGGUUAGAGUGUAGAGGUGGCAGGGUAGCCUAGUGGUUAGAGUGUAGGGGCGGCAGGGUAGCCUAGUGGUUAGAGUGUAGAGGUGGCAGGGUAGCCUAGUGGUUAGAGUGUAGAGGUGGCAGGGUAGCCUAGUGGUUAGAGUGUAGAGGUGGCAGGGUAGCCUAGUGGUUAGAGUGUAGAGGUGGCAGGGUAGUC